rnacentral:lncRNA from 1 species
AUGAGGAUUUUGAUUUGGAUAUGUUAUCCAAAGCUCUUUGUUAGUUUUAUAAGAAAUGCCGUUGUUAAAGUGAGCUUGAGUUCUUUGAAAUAGUUUGUACUUGAAUUUCUAAUCAGAGGAUGUACAGUCGAACCAUGACAUCGACUAGUGUUCUUGUUAGUUGUUGAAACUCGCCUUUUGAGUUUCACAUUGGGCAGUCGAUACACAGUCCACUUGUGAGAUUGCGCUAUGUGUUCCUUUUUCAACAGAUUUCUAGAGAUUAAAGAGGUGGGUAGGUGGUCAAUCCAUGACAUUGACCGAGGUUGAUAUUUGAUUUAUGCAAUCUAGUUUUAACUCCUUUGGGUAGCUCACCCGUUUGAGAAAUAGAGUUACCAACAUAUGAGUAACGUAAUGUGACAUUUAACUCCCAUGAUAUUGUUUUUAACCUCAUCAAAUAAAUUAAAUAUUUGUGGGCAUGUAUGCAUCAACACCACCAACCCUAACUCAGGUACAUCAAUAAAAAUUUGUAAUACAGACACGACCUGUCGACCUGUAUAACUCAUUUACCUAAACGAAGUAAACGUGUCGAUAUAUUGUGAACCGAUUGACAUGUGGUAAUAAAUAGUUGAACAGCUUGUAAACAAGUCGACAUGUUCACCUUAUAAAAUAUGUUAUUGUGCUUUUGUUCUAAUUAUAACAAGUUGUUUAGUUAAAUGGGUUAAGUAUAUGAACUUAGACAUGAUUAUUUUAAUUUACACGGGUCAGACGUGAAAACAUUAAACCUAACCUGAUUUAUUUUAUGUUUCAGGAAUUAGUAUCAGGUGGUUAGUUGAUUUAAAUGUAUUAAAUUAAUUUUUCAAUACUCCUUAACUCAUGUAUAAGGUUCUUGCCAAAUCAAUUUAAAAGAGAGCAAAAGUAGAGACAUAGUAAUUGCAGAGUUAUAUGUAGCAAUUAUCAUUAUUUAUUUCUUCACCUAGAAGUUAUUUAAAUUGUAAUAACACCGCAAUUAUAUUACUUUCUUUGUAUUAGUAUUUAACAUACAUAACUAGUAUUUACACCCGCCCGGGAAAACGGAUAAUCAACAUCAAACUACGAACUCAUAUAACUGUAAUAUCCAAAAAUAUACUCCUAUUACAUCUAAUAACCAAAAGUAUACUCAUUGCAUUCUUGAUGGUGGUUGGGCAUUAAGCAAAACAUUGAUGACUCAAGCAGUGAGAGCGAUGCACCUUGUUAGUACUGCACAUAUAAUCAAAUAAUCACAAAUAGUAUCUUACUACAAGAACCACAAAUAGUAUCUUACUACAAGGGCAUAGUGAAAAUAUUUUGUAAGCAAACAUUAUAAGAUGCAACGAACCAUCUUUGCAAGAAUCCUUGCCAAGCAUGUCUAGUUCAGAGAUGGCUUCAUCACAUGCCUGCAAUAGAGCACAACCAUAUAAUUAUAGUACACAUCUAUUAACAAAAGGUACUUAUCACUUCUGUAUAUGUUAAAUUUAAGAAUUACCAUGAUUGGUGAACAUGGCUUCAUGAUAGUUGUGAUCAAGGAUCCAUAUACUUGGAUCUUCCAUUUAGAAGAGUGAAUAAAUAUUAAAAUAUAUUUUAAACUAAAAAAUGGGACUCAUGGGUCAAACUGGUAAAAUAGGUCGAAUUCACCCAAAGCGUGUCUGUGUUUUAUGUAUACAACCUAGUAUAUCACUAUAUACAAAAAUUAGAUAAACGAAGAUUAUUACAUCGCUUCAUUACAUGCUUGGUUCUUUCCACGAAACAAAACUCUAUCAUAUCAUCCAGUUUUGUGAAAAAUUAAACUGAAGCUGCAAUCCAUGGGCCAACUUAAGAGGAUCAACAGUAUUCAACCAAAUUUUGGACCUAUAGAAUAAAAAAAUUAUCAUCAUACUGUGUUUUGGCAAACAUAUCUAGGAAUCAAAAACAUGGAAACAAAGGAACAUGUAGACAAAUCACAUUAAAGUCAAUAAUCAGUUGACCUUUUUUUCUCUAAAUUUGAUUAAUUUGACCCAUUACCAUGAUUUUACUCUUUUGUUAGCUAUCACAACCUUCUAACCACUAAUGAAUUAAGUAAAACUAAAAUCUUCUUAACUUUAUAUCUAGUGUAGGAAUCUACCUCUUUAAGAUUUUUCAAAAGAGCCUCUUUGACUUCAAAAGUCAUAUUUUUGUAACCGACAAAUGUUGCUCUAAACCCAGAUUGAACCUCUGAAUAUGCAAUGCUUAAGAGUUUCUCAAGAUAGUGACUAAUUUAAUGCUUGGUAUCUCCAUGCUAAUAUUACCAAACUAACAAACCUAACUUAUAAAAAUCAUAAAAUCGGAGCAAAAUUGAGUCCUAAAUUACUUUUCCAUAAGUGUAUAAGGUCGGAAAGUAAUUUCAAAACAGAAUAUAAUCAAAAUCAACGAAGAUAAAUUUGGUAAACUGUAAGAAGAAAAUGUAAUAUGUACCUGGUGAAAACGACAUGUACCUGGUGAAAACGAUGGAGACUUAAGUGAAAAAAAAAAACAGGAGGAAUAAUAGGAUUAGCAUGGUUUUAUAAUCGAGGGAAAAAUAAAAGGGGGCCGGACACGUAGGUGUGACG